ensembl:lncRNA
GUGCCUGUCCAUCCUCAGUUGUUCAGUUGCUGUGGCCACAAAACAAGUUACUUUGGAACUUAAUGCACAAACUACAACAGCAUUUGUUCUUUAGCUGUGCUGGCUCUGCUCCACUCACAAUAGCUGCACAGGUCAUGGCUGUACUCCUCUGAGGCUUCCUUAUCUACAGCAGCUGCUGUGGAGACAGAGCUGGAGUGACAGCCACAAAUAAACCUUGCAAGCAUCAAAAGGGGCUGGGUCACUUCCACGCUGUGAUGCUGCAGAUCAGUUUAUUGGAAACAAGACUCUUGGACCUCGAUGGAAUGUUAACACGUGACAAGGUGUUUCUAGCAGAAGAGAUGUGUGUCUGUGGCCAACAAAUCGGGGCCAUUCUUCACCUCCACACUCUAUGGCCUACAGGAGCUGACACAGGUCUGCAUGGGCCAGGCGUCAGGUCAGCUGGGGCCUCACUCAGUGGAGGAAACAUGGAGAUUCAGAGAGGGGACCCUGAUGCUUUCCCCAAAUGCCUGCUCAAUGGACCUUGCUUAAAAGCUUGGAUUUUGCCCUUGUGAUUGGCGACUCUGUGUCAGACACCGUCUAGGAAUGGAGUUGUUUGUGAGAACUACCCAAGAAGACAAGACAAGAAGAGGUCUAUAACCUCAGGUUCUUCAAAACAUGGGAAUUGUUCUUGGAAUGUGUUUUUGUGUUCCUCCAAGGUAUAGAGGAUAGGAGUGAGUUUACAUUAGAUUGCUCAUUAUUGCUUGCUGUUAUUAUUCAAUCAAAUGUGCCACACCCAUUCCAGUGGAGUCUGUGUGACACGAAGCAAAUAUUGCUAAAGACAUGUCCAGACCUGAGAUGUGUGUUUGCCGUAGCUAAGGCUCCUGGAGGUCACUGGCAGGAUCCCAAAAGGACAAGAUGGUCUCUGUGUCUCACUGUCUGUGGUGGGUUGUUUUCUGCUUUUUUCUUUUAUGACUGGUCUGACUUUCUCAGCAUCAACAGAUGAUCAGGUGUUGGUUGCUUUGGAGAAAGAUUGAAUACCUCUAGAUAUUUUGGUUCCAGGAACUGAAAGCACCUCACCAGCAAUUUUUGUACAAAAUGCUAUCAUUGAAGUUUCGUUUCUGCCUGUGGCCCGAGUGGAACAGUUCCUUGCUAGGGUGGCUCUGGAUAUGAACAUUUCUACUAGAAGCCCCCCGUUAGUUAGAACUCUAUUUGAAAUGUUUAAAACACAAAAUAAAAGCUUCAGAUCAAUCAUUAAUUCCAGCAAGCAGAGUUGUCUUACCAGAUGUCUAGGAAAAGUAAAAGAGAAGCUCAAGAAGGAGAUGAUUCAGAAAACUUAGGGGAACUUGGAAUUCCUAUAAAGGUUGAAUUAGCAGAACUUAUGAUAAGAUUGAUGGGAAGUGGUGGCAUCCUCUAAGGUACAAAGGUCCAUUAUUUUUAUAAAACAACAGCUGCCCCUUUGCCAUACAUAGGAGAUUAUGAUAAAGACUUUAAUCGCUGGGUUGUCAUUGGGGGUGAAAAAAAGAUUGUAUAUAUCAUUAAGCCGGUGGGAGAGACUAAAAGGAGCAAGACCACCUUGGUGUGGUGUCUUUAGCUGAUAAGAGAGAUAUUUUAUGGCAAAUGUAUAGAUAUUUACAUUAUCAAUCAGAAGACUUUGUAUGGAGACAUACAGGGGAUAAAAAGGAUUUUAUUGAUUGCUUUAUGAAACUUGUAAAUUGGCCUAAAGAAUCUUAAAGUUCAACAAGAUCAAAUUCUCAAAAUCAUAGCCAGCUCAGCAACUUAACCACUGUCUGGAGCUGAGAUGAUUCUGACUAAGACUGCUUCCUGCCAUGUACUUUCGUCUUAACAUUUGCUUAGAGCUAGUAAUGUCUAUUUUACACAUUUUCUGUACUCAAGCCAAAAAUGAAGUUCCUGUAUUGCUUGUAUAAGUUACAGUGAUGAAGCAAAGAUUUUUUGCAGCAGCAUCAAACCUCUCUUGUGUCUGUGUCUGUCUGUCACGCUGAAUCCGUCCCAACCUGAGUACCAAGACCCCGAUUCUCCCGCAAUCUGGUUCUCUCCCUGAGUGGUCUGCGGCACAAAUGUCUAUUUGCUUCUGUGGAAAAACAUGCUUUCCACACGGGGCUUGUCUGUGUAAUUGUAUACAGUUUGCACUCAUGAGAACUUUACACAUGUGACUUUUCUUUUCUUGGGGGUGGGGUGUUUCAAGACAGGGUUUCUCUGGGUAGCUCUAGCUGUUCUGGAGCUUACUCUAAAGACUAGGCUGGCCUCAAACUCAGAAAUCUGCCUGCCUCUGCCUCCUGAGUACUGGGAUUAAAGGUGUGCACCACCACUGCCCAACUUCAUGUGAUUUUUUUUUCUUAACCAUCAGAGCUUAAUUGUCUGAGGCUCUAAAUAAAGUUG